rnacentral:rRNA from 1 species
GACGAACGCUGGCGGCGUGCUUAACACAUGCAAGUCGAGCGGUAAGGCCCUUCUGGGUACACGAACGGCGAACGGGUGAGUAACACGUGAGCAAUCUGCCCUUCUCUUUGGAAUAACCAUUGGAAACGAUGGCUAAUGCCGAAUAUGAACCCCCUUCGCAUGUUGGGGGUUGGAAAGCUCCGGCGGACAUGGAUGAGCUCGCGGCCUAUCAACUUGUUGGUGAGGUAAUGGCUCACCAAGGCAUUGACCGAUAGCCGGCCUGACAGGGUGACCGGCCACACUGGGACUGAGACACAGCCCAGACUCCUACGGGAGGCAGCAGUGGGGAAUAUUGGACAAUGGGCGAAAGCCUGAUCCAGCAACGCCGCGUGAGGGAUGACGGCCUUCGGGUUGUAAACCUCUUUCAUCAAGGACGAAGCAAGAGUGACGGUACCUGCAGAAGAAGGACCGGCCAACUACGUGCCAGCAGCCGCGGUAAUACGUAGGGUCCGAGCGUUGUCCGGAAUUAUUGGGCGUAAAGGGCUCGUAGGCGGUUUGUCGCGUCGGGAGUGAAAACUCAGGGCUUAACCCUGAGCUGGCUUUCGAUACGGGCUGACUAGAGGUAUGCAGGGGAGAACGGAACUCCUGGUGUAGCGGUGAAAUGCGCAGAUAUCAGGAAGAACACCGGUGGCGAAGGCGGUUCUCUGGGCAUUACCUGACGCUGAGGAGCGAAAGUGUGGGGAGCGAACAGGAUUAGAUACCCUGGUAGUCCACACCGUAAACGGUGGGCGCUAGGUGUGGGACUCAUUCCACGAGUUCCGUGCCGCAGCUAACGCAUUAAGCGCCCCGCCUGGGGAGUACGGCCGCAAGGCUAAAACUCAAAGGAAUUGACGGGGGCCCGCACAAGCGGCGGAGCAUGCGGAUUAAUUCGAUGCAACGCGAAGAACCUUACCUAGGUUUGACAUAUAGGGAAAUCUCCUGGAGACAGGAGGUCCGUAAGGGCUCUAUACAGGUGGUGCAUGGCUGUCGUCAGCUCGUGUCGUGAGAUGUUGGGUUAAGUCCCGCAACGAGCGCAACCCUCGUCUUAUGUUGCCAGCACGUAAUGGUGGGGACUCAUAAGAGACUGCCGGGGUCAACUCGGAGGAAGGUGGGGAUGACGUCAAGUCAUCAUGCCCCUUAUGCCUAGGGCUUCAAGCAUGCUACAAUGGCCGGUACAAAGGGCUGCGAAACUGUAAGGUGGAGCGAAUCCCAAAAAGCCGGUCUCAGUUCGGAUUGGGGUCUGCAACUCGACCCCAUGAAGUCGGAGUCGCUAGUAAUCGCAGAUCAGCAACGCUGCGGUGAAUACGUUCCCGGGCCU